AGUGAACGCUGGCGGUAGGCCUAACACAUGCAAGUCGAACGGCAGCACAGUAAGAGCUUGCUCUUACGGGUGGCGAGUGGCGGACGGGUGAGGAAUACAUCGGAAUCUACUUUUUCGUGGGGGAUAACGUAGGGAAACUUACGCUAAUACCGCAUACGACCUACGGGUGAAAGCAGGGGAUCUUCGGACCUUGCGCGAUUGAAUGAGCCGAUGUCGGAUUAGCUAGUUGGCGGGGUAAAGGCCCACGAAGGCGACGAUGCGUAGCUGGUCUGAGAGGAUGAUCAGCCAGACUGGAACUGAGAAACGGUCCAGACUCCUACGGGAGGCAGCAGUGGGGAAUAUUGGGCAAUGGGGGCAAGCGUGAUCCAGCCAUACCGCGUGAGUGAAGAAGGCCUUCGGGUUGUAAAGCCCUUUUGUUGGGAAAGAAAAGCAGCAGGUUAAUACGCCGCUGUUCUGACGGUACCGAAAGAAUAAGCACCGGCUAACUUCGUG
rnacentral:rRNA from 1 species